UACGGGGGGGGCAAGCGUUGUUCGGAAUUACUGGGCGUAAAGGGCUCGUAGGCGGCCAACUAAGUCAGACGUAAAAUCCCUCGGCUUAACCGGGGAACUGCGUCUGAUACUGGAUGGCUUGAGUUUGGGAGAGGGGUGCGGAAUUCCAGGUGUAGCGGUGAAAUGCGUAGAUAUCUGGAGGAACACCGGUGGCGAAGGCGGCAUCCUGGACCAACACUGACGCUGAGUGAGCGAAAGCCAGGGGAGCAAACGGG
rnacentral:rRNA from 1 species